rnacentral:rRNA from 1 species
CCUACGGGUGGCACCAGCGGGGAAUAUUGGACAAUGGGCGAAAGCCUGAUCCAGCAAUGCCGCGUGAAUGAUGAAGGCCUUAGGGUUGUAAAGCUCUUUUACCCGGGGUGAUAAUGACAGUACCGGGAGAAUAAGCUCCGGCUAACUCCGUGCCAGCAGCCGCGGUAAUACGGAGGGAGCUAGCGUUGUUCGGAAUUACUGGGCGUAAAGCGCACGUAGGCGGCUUUGUAAGUUAGAGGUGAAAGCCUGGAGCUCAACUCCAGAACUGCCUUUAAGACUGCAUCGCUUGAAUCCAGGAGAGGUGAGUGGAAUUCCGAGUGUAGAGGUGAAAUUCGUAGAUAUUCGGAAGAACACCAGUGGCGAAGGCGGCUCACUGGACUGGUAUUGACGCUGAGGUGCGAAAGCGUGGGGAGCAAACAGGAUUAGAUACC